UGCCUUGGCCUAAUGAUGAGCAGGAGCAUUGUAGGAAGGUGCUUGCAAGAAACAAAGGGUUUUUGGUGGAUGCAAUCAAGUGGAAUUGGGUUAGUAACAUGUUGCAGGUGGUAUUUUAAUGUACUCAUCAUGGCAAUUUCAAAUUGGAUUGAUGAUUUGUUUGUUGUCCAACUGGACCAUGGUAACAAGAACCUAUGUACAAUAUUUUUCCUCUGCAUUUUCUGCUUGUGAUGUCAAGUAGCAGCUGGUCAAAACCUAACAGGAUCUUGCAAACCACAAGUGGUUGGCCUUCACAUGUUGAACCAUCACCCUGUUUCCAUUGGCUGGCAGUUCAAACCUCUGUUGCAACUUGGAAUAGUUUUUCAUUUUUCUUGGUCUUAUGUAGCAAAGGUACAGUCUGCUUCAUGAGGUAUCAUGAUGUGGUCUUGGUUUGGCACAAUGAAUAGCCUAUAGCAGACCUUGCAAAGUGUAGGUUGCAGUAAGUGCAUUACACACCAUGGAAAAUCCAAUGAUCAUGGUUUGGCUUCAACCUUCACAUGCAGCUACCUGGUUUUUUGCAGUCGGGUUAUUUGCAGACUGAUGGUAUGCUGAUUCAAUCCCAUUUCAUACUGAGCUUGUGGCAGUAGUGUGUGGUAACAGACCUGGCACAAUGCAGGUAGCAGUAGCCAUUUAGUAGACUUGCAAUAGAUAUGGAUGACCAUUGUUGUUGUGUUUUGUAGCAGGUCAUGAUGGGUUGCAAGGUUGUAGACAAGUCCAUAAGCCUGAUGUUUAAAGCUAAGGCCAGAUCUCAUGAUAUGUGGUGUGAAGGCAAAUCUCAUGGUUCAUAAGCAACAUGGAUGGUUUGUGGCAUGGCAUAAACAUGGUGGUGGAGGAUAACUUGAAAAUGAAGCAUUCAUGAUGGAAGCAAGCACACAUGAGAAAUGGAGAGAUGGAUCAAGGUUUAGGAUGGAAGAUUUAGGAUGUAAAGA